rnacentral:piRNA from 1 species
UAGCAGUGAUGAUUUUGGGUCCUGCCGUA